rnacentral:rRNA from 1 species
UGCGUAGGUGGCUAGGUAAGUCAGGUGUGAAAUCUCGGAGCUCAACUCCGAAACUGCACUUGAUACUGCCUGGCUCGAGUACUGGAGAGGAGAUUGGAAUUUACGGUGUAGCAGUGAAAUGCGUAGAUAUCGUAAGGAAGACCAGUGGCGAAGGCGAAUCUCUGGACAGUUACUGACACUGAGGCACGAAGGCCAGGGGAGCAAACA